GACGAACGCUGGCGGCGUGCCUAACACAUGCAAGUCGAACGGAAAGGCCCUGCUUUUGUGGGGUGCUCGAGUGGCGAACGGGUGAGUAACCCGUGAGUAACCUGCACUUGACUUUGGGAUAUCUUCAGGAAACUGGGGCUAAUACCGGCUAGGAGCUCCUGCUGCUUGGUGGGGGUUGGAAAGUUUCGGCGGUUGGGGAUGGACUCGCGGCUUAUCAGCUUGUUGGGGUGGUAGUGGCUUAGCAAGGCUUUGACGGGUAGCCGGCCUGAGAGGGUGACCGGCCACAUUGGGACUGGGCUACGGCCCAGACUCCAACGGGAGGCAGCGGUGGAGAAGAUUACACAAGGGACUGGGGCCUGAUGCAACAACGCCGCGUGCGGGAUGACGUGCAUCGGGUUGGAAACCGCAUUCGCCUGAGACGAAGCGUUAGUGACGGUAACGGGUAAAGAAGCACCGGCUAACUACGUG
rnacentral:rRNA from 1 species